rnacentral:rRNA from 1 species
UACGGGGGGAGCAAGCGUUGUUCGGAUUUACUGGGCGUAAAGGGCGCGUAGGCGGCCUCUGCAAGUCGACUGUGAAAUCUCCGGGCUUAACCCGGAACGGUCAGCCGAUACUGCAGGGCUAGAGUGCAGAAGGGGCAACUGGAAUUCUCGGUGUAGCGGUGAAAUGCGUAGAUAUCGAGAGGAACACCUGCGGCGAAGGCGGGUUGCUGGGCCGACACUGACGCUGAUGCGCGAAAGCCAGGGGAGCGAACGGG